UAGACAUAAAUAAAAACAUACAAGCUUCAUAAUACAAAGCCAGGGGCCUCGAGGGCUAGAAUACAGAAGCUCGAUAAACACAUGAGUCAGCGGAAGCAACAAAUAUCUGAGUACAGACAUAAAACAAGGAUACUGCCUUAGAGAAGGCUAGCACAAAAGAUACAGCGAUCGAAUGAGGCGAGGCCUCCUGGUUGGGAACCUCCUAACUACUCCUGGUCAUUAGUGGCCUCCACGUAGUAGUAUGCACCGUCAGCGGGAUACGCCAUCUCCUGGGCUCCAUCAUUUGGUCGCAGCAAUCGUAUCAAGGGGAAAAGGGGGAGCAAAUCAACGGUGAGUACUCAUCCAAAGUACUCGCAAGACUGACAUCAGAACUAUACUAAGUAUGCAUCAGGUAUUAGAGCAAAGGGGGGUUAUAUGUGGACUGACUACAACAAUGCGAGAAUAGAGAGAGGGGACUAGUCCUUCCGGAGACUAGCAUCUUCAGCGUCUUGCAGCAUUAGACGAGAGUACAGCAAUAAGACUAAUAUAAUUUCAUAUUGUUGCAGCAAUAUUAAUUAAGGUCAAGCCCAGAUAAUCUCCCUUGACUCAUUGCGAGUAAGCAAUCUCGGAGCAAAUAUUCGAGUUAAGUAACAGUUGUAGUUGUAUAAGAUCGGGGCACAACUCACAAUCGUCCUGUAACCGUGGACACGGCUAUCCAAAUAGUUAAUUUUCAUCCAUGUAGGGGUGCACCAUAGUACCCAACAUGCUUGAUAAACUCUGGCCGCACACACUUCCCUCAGUCAUGCCCGGCCUCGGAACAUCAACACGUCGCAGCCCUACCUAAGCUCAUCAGAGAGGCCAGCCCGCCGGUCUAAAUCCUAAGCGCGAAGGGGUCAUGGGCCCAUCACCCUUUGCGCUCCUGCAUGAUGCGAGGGCGGUCGCUGUCAGUCCUAGCACCUCUUAUACAAGAACAAUGCUUAUCCAGGCUACUCGGGCGCACGCCGCUCCAUUGCUAGCGCCUGAAGAACUUCGGCUAAUACCACGACGUCGAGUACCCAUAACUUCUCCCACGUGAAGGUUAGUGCGAAAGGGUCUCCCGACCAACUCAGAUCAAAUACCCAAAUCCAUUAGCAUUUUAAUUAAUUCUCGAGGAAGUGUGGCAAGGACUAUAAUGCCGAGCCACGCCUCAUCACACUCACGUGGGAAUCCACCCGCAACACACCUUUCAUGUUCCCAGUAGCACGGUCAAGUAACUAUGUGGUUGUAACAUCAGAGGGAUCUGAGGUAUCACCCUCGAUGGAUUCCGAAAGAUGUAACCUUUAAGGUGACCAGCGGAGAAUCACCCUCGAUGGACCACACUUGAUGGGUUGUACGACAGAGUCGUUAUCGGAGGUGGUGAAGGAGGAAUCACCCUCCGGGAACCACCGCCGGUCAACUACACUACAGAGCUAAUAUCAGGAGUACGUAUCGAGGUGUCAUCCUCGGUACUCGAUAGUAGCUCUGUAGUGUCGUACAACUAAGGGGGUGUGAGUGAUGUGACGGGUCUUGGCUCGUCGAACAGAUGAUCGAGACUUCGAUGAUAAAACGGGGCAACUGGACUAAGGGGGGUAAAUGGGUAUCACUCCUCCACCUAUACUAAACAGUUUAAAGUGCGGUAGAGAAAGUAGAAGUUCAUCAAAAACAGGCUAUGAAUCAGAUAUAGGAGCUAACUACAAUAGUAGCAAAAUCUAAUGCAAGCAUGAGGGGGAAAGAAAUAGGCGAUAUAGGAAUGAUCAAGGGGGUUUGCUUGCCUUGUUGCUCUGAGGCAAAGGGCUGGUCGUCAGGAGGGUAGUCGUACCCGGCAGCAGCGUCAGUCUCGGAGUCUACCAGGGAGAAGAGGGGGAAGAAACAAUAAACAUAACGCACAGAUGCAACAUGAUGCAUGACAUGGCAAUAUGCACGGCUAGGCAUGAGCUAGCGCAGUAACACCCGUCAUGGACGGAUUGGGAAAAUAUCUGACGAUAUUUUCUGGGUCUCUGGCUACUACCGGACAGGCAAAAUGGAUGAAAAAGUUUCAUGUUCGCUAUGAUAGAGACGUAUGACACACGGAUUGAUAGCGUAUCCGGGUUCGUCUUGUUUUUCUAAUCAACUUUCAUGUGCAAAAUAUUUUCAUACGGAUUACGGAUUAUUUUUUAUUAUUUUUUAAUUUUUUAUUAAUUAUUUAGGAACUAAAUAGAUUUAAUUAAAUUCAAUAAUUAGUUAUGACACCAGCAUGAUGUCAUGCUGACAUCAACAGUCAACAGUCCUGUUGAGUGGUCAAACUGACAUGUGGGUCCCACAUGUCAUACUCACAUGUUAAUUUAGUUUAAUUGGAAAUUAAUCAGACUAAUUUAGGGGGUGGAACCCACCUGUCAUUCUCUAAUUAACUAAACUAAUCAAAGGUUUUAUUAAAUAAAAUUAAUUAGUAUUAAUUGGAGGUUGUCCCACAUGUCAUUGGUAUUUAAAUUAACAACAGAUUAGUUAAACUAAUUAAUAUUAAUCAUACCUAAUUACCUAAUUAAUAUAAUUAUUAAAUUUAUUUUUAUUACAUUUUUUAUUCACACUUUUUUUUGUUUUUUGGGGGUGUAGGCCCCUGUGUCAUACAGUGGGAAGGGUUAGUGAGGGGCCUAAUCCCCACUAACCAGAUCGGCCCAGGCAAGGGCCUGGCUGUGCCUGAGGCCACCGAUGGGGGGAGGCGGCCGUGGGGAGGCGCCGGCGACGGGUGGCGCAUGUGGGUGCGGGCGCAUUCGGCUGUGGGCGGUGGGAGGGUCCGCACAUCGUCGGGGGAGGGACAGGGCCGACAGGGAGGUGCGCGGUAGUGGCGGAGUGGCGAAAGGCCGACGCAGGUGCGGGGCGAGCGGGAGCUGCGACGGCGUGGUGCAUGGUUGCCAGUGAGGGGAGACGGGGGUGUUGGAGCUGCGGGGCCAACGGUGGCCGUAGGUGAGGCGAAGCUCGCCGAAGGAAGAGUGGGGAAGGAGAGGGGGGUUGGAGCUUGACGGCCUCACCGACAUUGGAGGGAAGGAGGGUCGUCGAGGCGUGAGGAAGCCGUCGAGGGGGAGGACGGGGACGCGAUGGGUCAGAGGAGAGGCGGCCGGCGGCGACGAGGCGACCGGAGGGGGCCGUCGGCUCGCCGGAGCGGCUCGCGCGGGGCAGUCGUCGCCACAGGGGGUCUCGGUGGGGAGGGGAGGAAGUAAGUGGGGUGGGC
rnacentral:lncRNA from 1 species